AUUGAACGCUGGCGGCAUGCCUUACACAUGCAAGUCGAACGGCAGCACGGGUGCUUGCCCCUGGUGGCGAGUGGCGAACGGGUGAGUAAUACAUCGGAACAUGUCCUGUAGUGGGGGAUAGCCCGGCGAAAGCCGGAUUAAUACCGCAUACGAUCUACGGAUGAAAGCGGGGGACCUUCGGGCCUCGCGCUAUAGGGUUGGCCGAUGGCUGAUUAGCUAGUUGGUGGGGUAAAGGCCUACCAAGGCGACGAUCAGUAGCUGGUCUGAGAGGACGACCAGCCACACUGGGACUGAGACACGGCCCAGACUCCUACGGGAGGCAGCAGUGGGGAAUUUUGGACAAUGGGCGAAAGCCUGAUCCAGCAAUGCCGCGUGUGUGAAGAAGGCCUUCGGGUUGUAAAGCACUUAUGUCCGGAAAGAAAUCCUUGGCCCUAAUACGGUCGGGGGAUGACGGUACCGGAAGAAUAAGCACCGGCUAACUACGUG
rnacentral:rRNA from 1 species